GUGCUGGCACAUGUGCACAAGUAUGCAUGUGUAUGUGUGUGCACAUACACACACAUAUACACACCCA
rnacentral:miRNA from 1 species